rnacentral:misc_RNA from 1 species
GAUGAAGAACGUAGUGAAAUGCGAUAACUAGUGUGAAUUGCAGAAUUCCGUGAAUCAUCGAGUCUUUGAACGCACAUUGCGCCCCCUGGUAUUCCGGGGGGCAUGCCUGUCCGAGCGUCAUUGCUGCCCAUCAAGCACGGCUUGUGUGUUGGGUCGUCGUCCCCUCUCCGGGGGGGACGGGCCCCAAAGGCAGCGGCGGCACCGCGUCCGAUCCUCGAGCGUAUGGGGCUUUGUCACCCGCUCUGUAGGCCCGGCCGGCGCUUGCCGAACGCAAAUCAAUCUUUUCCAGGUUGACCUCGGAUCAGGUAGGGAUACCCGCUGAACUUAAGCAUAUCAAUAAGCGGAGGA